AGAAAGGCUUAUGGUGGAUAACUAGGUACCCAGAGACGAGGAAGGGCAUAGUAAGCGACGAAAUGCUUCGUGGAGUAGAAAAUAAGCAUAGAUAUGAGGAUUCCUAAUAUAGGUCAACCUUUCGAACUGCAACUGAAUCUAUGGGCAGGCAAGAGACAACAUGGUGAACUAAAACAUCUUGGUAGCCAGAGGAAAAGAAAGCAAAAGCGAUUCCCAUAGUAGCGGCGAGCAAAAUGGGAGCAACCUAAAUCGUGAAAACGGGGUUGUGAGAGAGCUAUACAAGUGUCGUGUUGCUAGGCGAAGCAGCAGAGAAUGCUGCACCCUAAAUGGCGAGAGUUCAGUAGCCGAAAGCAUCACUAGCUUACACUCUGACCCGAGUAGCAUGGGCAUGUGGAAUCUCGUGUGAAUCAGCAAUGACCACCUUGGAAGGCAAAAUACUCCUGGGUUACUGAUAGUGAAGUAGUACCCGUGAGGGAAGGGUGAAAAGAACCCUCAUCGGGGAUUGAAAUAGAACAUGAAACUGUAAGCUCCCAUGCAGUGGGAGGAGGCUCGAGACUCUGAUCGCAUGCCUGUUGAAGAAUGAGUCGGUGACUCAUAGGCAGUGGCUUGGUUAAGGGAAACCACCGGAGCCGUAGCGAAAGCGAGUCUUCAUAGGGCAAUUGUCACUGCUUAUGGACCCAAACCUGGGUGAUCUGUCCAUGACCAAGAUGAAGCUUGGGUGAAACUAAGAGGAGGUCCGAACUGACUAAUGUUGAAGAAUCAGUGGAUAAGUUGUGGUUAGGGGUGAAAUGCCACUCGAACCCAGAGCUAGCUGGUUCUCCCUAAAAUCCGUUGAGGUGCAGUAGUUGACUAGACAUCUAGGGGUAAAACACUGUUUCGGUGCGGGCCAUGAGAGCGGUACCAAAUCGAGGCAAACUCUAAUACUAGAUAUGACCUCAAAAUAACAAGGGUCAAGGUCGGCCAGUGAGACGAUGGGGGAUAAGCUUCAUCGUCAAGAGGGAAACAGCCCAGAUCACCAGCUAAGGCCCCUAAAUGACCGCUCAGUGAUAAAGGAGGUAGGGGUGCAGAGACAACCAGGAGGUUUUCCUAGAAGCAGCCACCCUUGAAAGAAUGCAUAAUAGCUCACUGAUCGAGCGCUCUUGUGCCGAAGAUGAACGGGGCUAAGCGAUCUGCCAAAGCUGUGGGGUGUAAAAAUGAAUCGGUAGGGGAGUGUACCAUCUUAGAGGGAAGGACCCAUGCGAGUAGUGCUGGACGAAGCAGAAGCGGGAAUGUUGGCUUGACUAACGCAAACGUUGGUAAGAAUCCAAUGCCUCGAAAACCCAAGGGUUCCUUCGUAAGGUUCAUCCACGGAGGGUGAGUCAAGGCCUAAGAUCCGGCCGAAGGGCGUAGUCGAUGGACAAAAGGUGAAUAUUCUUGUACUACCCUUUAUUGGACUCGAGGGAUGGAGGAGGCUAGGUUAGCCAAAAUAUGGUUAUCGGUUCAAGGACGCAAGGUGCCCCUGCUUUUUCAGAGUAAUAAGGGUAGAUAAAAUGCGUUGAGCCAAAGUUCGAGUACCAAGCGCUACAGCGCUGAAGUAAUCCAUGCCAUACUUCUAGGUAAAGCUUAAAUGACCUUCAAUAAAUGGGUACUUGUACCCGAAACCAACAUAGGUGGGUAGGUAAAGAAUACCUAGGGGCGCGAGACAACUCUCUCUAAGGAACUCAGCAAAAUAGCCCCGUAACUUCGAGAGAAGAGGUGCCUCCUCACAAAGGAGGUCGUUGUGACUAGGCUCGGGCGAUUGUUUACCAAAAACACAUGUCUCCGCAAAGUCAUAAGACCAUGUAUGGGGGCUGACACCUGCCAAGUGCCGGAAGGUCAAGGAAGUUAGUGACCAGAUGACAGGGGAUCCGAUGACCGAAGCCUCGGUGAACGGCGACCGUAACUAUAACGUCUUAAGGUAGCGCAAUUCCUUGUCAGGUAAGUUCCAACCCGCAUGAAAGGCAUAAUGAUUUGGGCACUGUCUCGGAGAGAGACUCGGUGAAAUAGACAUGUUUGUGAAGAUGCGGACUACCUGCACUUGGACAGAAAGACCAUAUGAAGCUUCACUAUUUCCUGGGAUUGGCUUUGGGCUUUUCCUGCGUAGCUUAGGUGGAGGGCAAAGAAGGCUUCUUUCUUAGGGGGGGGGGGGCGAACCAUUAGUGAGAUACCACUCUAGAAGAGCUAGAAUUCUAACCUUGUUCCAGGACCUACGAGCCGAGGGAUAGUCUCAGGUAGAUAGUUUCUAUGGGGCGUAAGCCUCCCUAAAGGUAACGGAGGCAUGCAAAGGUUUCCUCAGGCCAGACGGAGUUUGGCCCUCGAGUGCAAAGGCAGAAGGGAGCUUGAUUGCAAGACCCACCCGUCGAUUAUGGACAAAAGUCGGUCUUAAUGAUCUGACGAUGCCGAGUGGAAGGGCCAUCGCUCAAUGGAUAAAAGUUACUCUAGGGAUAACAGACUGAUCUUCCCUAAGAUCUCACAUGGAUGGGAAGGUUUGGCACCUCGAUGUCGGCUCUUCGCCACCUGAGGCUGUAGUAUGUUCCAAGGGUUUGGUUGUUCGCCCAUUAAAGCGGUACGUGAGCUGGGUUUAGAACGUCAUAAGAUAGUUCGGUCCAUAUCCGAUGUGGGCUUUAGAGCAUUGAGAGGACCUUUCCCUAGUAUGAGAGGGUCGGGAAGGACGCACCUCUAGUGUGCCAGUUAUUGUACCCACGAUAAACACUGGGUAGCCAAGUACGAAAUGGAUAACUGCUGAAAGCAUCUAAGUAGUAAACCCACCCCAAGAUGAGUGUUCUUCUAUCCCGACUUCCCCAGAGCCUCCGAUAGCACAGCCGAGACAACGAUGGAUUCUCUGCCCCGGCAGGGAUGGAGCGAAAGAAGUUUUGAGAAUUCAAGAGAAGGUCAAGGCGAGACGAAAAUAUGAUGUAUGUUUUGUUUUUCCAUUGUUACAUUUUGACCUGCUUAAUAAUUAUCGACUGUUACAUAAAUU
rnacentral:rRNA from 1 species